ACCCUCUGUUUGUUUACCCAGGGCUGGCGGUGUUUGGAAACUGAAAGCAUCUGCACGUGAAAAAAAGCCCUGUGAGAACAAUCUGCUUUGGCAAGUGAAUCGCACAGGAAUCCACUGAAAGCUCUGGUACCAGCAUCGCCACGUAGGCACGACACAGAGGAAAUUCUCUGCCCUUCUUAGCUUGAUGAGAACCUCCUGCAAAAGCUGUACACCUCCUCCAGGCCUGCUGACCUUUGCUUGGAUACCUUGUUCCACACACCAGAGGGAAUGACUUCACACCGCCUCCUCCCCAGAAUCCACUGUUGAAGCUUACCAACGCCUUUGGAAACAGAAGCCCUCUUCCACAUCGUCUACUUGUCAAUUCCAGAGAAAAUGCAAAACCGCUGAGCUGCCUAGGAG
ensembl:lncRNA